AAUCUACAAGCUGCACGCAGUCAUCCAGUGAUUGAGAGGAGAGAGGAGGCUUUCAACAAACGAUAUAUCAUGAAGAGAUAUGUGAAAAACACCUUGAGGAUUGAUUCUAAACAACGUUUACCAUGUUUCAGUCGAUAUUAUGGAGUUAAUUUGGAAAAAGGUUCGGCGUUUUGAAGACUGAAUUUUCAUUUUUUUUUGGUAGCCAAACGUGACGCACCAAACGGAGCAAUUUCUCCUAAACAAAUAAUCUUUCAGGAAAAACUGAGCAUUUGCUAUCUAACUGAGUCUCCUCAUUGAAAACAUCUGAAGUUCUUCAAAGGACCUGAGCCCUAGGACCAUGCGUCAGGACUACCUUGCACGAUGACUCCUUGCUGUCCCCAGUCCACCUGGCCUUGCCGCUGUUCCAGUUUCAACUGUUCUGCCUGCGGCUAUGGAACCCUAAACUGUUCAUUUUUACUCUUGAGGUGCUGUCCUGUUGCACCCUCUACAACCACUGUGAUCUCCACCCGGCACAGCCAGAAGAGGACUGGCCACCCCUCAUAGCCUGGUUCCUCUCUAGAUUUUUAUUUAUUUUCUGAGUGCAGUCUCAGAUUAUUGCAUGGUUUGCUUUUUCUGUAAAGUAUUUUUGAUGGUAUGGUUGCAUUAAGGAGACGUAUAUCAAUAAUUCCAUGCGUAUAACUUGUAUUUUCAUCAACAUUUAUGAUGAGUAUUUCUGUUGAAUUAUUGUGGCUAUGCAAAAUCACUGGAUGUUUUUGGAACUAGUGAACGUAACGUGCCAAUGUAAACUUAGAUGUUUCGAUAUAAAUAUGAACUUUAUCAAACAAAACAGAACAAUGCUUGAUUUGUUUGAUAAUGUCCAUUAUUUAUAUCCAAGUAGCUACUUUUGUUAGCCCGUUUAGUACACAAAUCCAGAAGCUCGUGCAGGUCCAUCCGAAUGUCGUACGGAAACUUCAAAAAGUUAUAUUACAGGUCAAAGAAACUUGUCAAACUAAGUACAGAAUCAAUCUUUAGGGUGUUGUUAUCAUAAAUCUUCAAUAAAGAAGAUACAAUUCCUUUGUGUGUAGAGAAGCCAGGGAACGCAGGUUGCUAUCAUGUGAAUUGCGCGUGACCAGCCCUUGGCUCUCUGCCAGACACCUGGUUCAUUCAACUCCCAUUCAGCCCCACAACACAGUAGAAGUGUUGUCCUCAAGUUUCUAAAGAUGGUUGAUAUCUAGUGGAAGCCCUAGGAAGUGCAACUUCAUCCAUAUCCCACUAUGAAUUCAAUAGGGGCUGGGUUGAAAAUCGACCAACCUCAGAUUUCUCACUUCCUGUUUGGAUUUCUUCUCAGGUUUUUGCCUGCCAUGAGUUAUGUUAUACUCACAGACAUCAUUUAAACAGUUUUAGAAAUUGCAGGGUGUUAUAUAUACUACUAAUAAUAUGCAUAUAUUAGCAACUGGGACUGAGAGGCAGGCUGUUUACUCUGGGCAUCUUUCUUCCAAGCUACUCAAUACUGCCCCUGCAGCCAUAAGAAGUUAAAGGAUAGCUGUAGAUGAUGAGUUAUUUUUCCUAUUGUCAUUAUUUUAGUUUUCUCCACGUACAUUCUAUAUCCUGAGAUUUAAGAGUAUUCUAAAAAUAUUUUUAACAAGGCGGGCAUUGAGUUAUCAAUACUAGCCAGGUAUAUCAGGAGAUCAUCUGCAAAUAAGUUUAGUUUAUAUUCAUGUUUACCAGUAAUGAUACCUGUUAUGUUUGGGUCCUGUCUUGUUAUUUUUGCAAGCAGUGGUUCAAUUACCACUGCACACAGGAGAGGGGAGAGAAGACAUCCCUGUCUCAUGCUCCACUUUUUAAAAAUCAAUUUCAUCAGAUAAUGUAUUAUUUGUGUCUAUUUUUGCUUUAGGAUAUUUAUAUAAUAUUUUUAUGAAAUGUAAAAUUUCAAAUGGAAAGUUGAAUGCUUCCAAAGUUUUGAAUAGAAAAGACCACUCAAGAUGGUUGAAAGCCUUUUUGGCAUCAAUUGAUAUUUUAAAUCAACAUGUUUUUUGUGUAUUAUACUGGAACGUAUUAUUGUAUUUGUUUCUAAGUGUCUAUUUUUAAUAAACCAUGUUUGAUUAAUAUGUAUCAAGAGUUUUGCCAUUUAGUUGCUUAUGAGUUUCGUUAUUAUGUUAUUGAUGCAAUUUAUUACAUUUAUGAGUCUGUAAAUUUCAGGGGACUCUCCAGGUUUUCCCAGUUUUAAUAUAACUGUUUGAUACACUGAAUUGAGUGACGUGUGUUGCCAUUUGAGUAAAUAGGGGCGCUACAUUCUCCUAGAAUAACAAAUAAACUUUGAUGGGAAAGCCAUCCAUCCCUGAUGCUUUUCUCCACACAAAUGUUUAAACAGUGUCUAAUAUUUAUUUAGGGGUGAUUUCCAUUUCUUGUGAUUCCUUUUUCAUCUGAUGAAAGUGUUUCAGGGUUAUUGAGCCUGAGAGGGCUGUAGUAUCAGUCCAAUUGUUAUUUAAUUAUGAUUUAUAUAUUUUCAUACAAGCUUUGAAAAUUGUUAUUAAUACUGUAGCAUAAUUUUUUUCUAAUUAAAGCAUUCGGAAC
ensembl:lncRNA